AGUCGAACGGAGCUGUUUUGAUGAAGUUUUCGGAUGGAUUUAAAACAGCUUAGUGGCGGACGGGUGAGUAACGCGUGGGUAACCUGCCUCACACUGGGGGAUAACAGUUAGAAAUAGCUGCUAAUACCGCAUAAGCGCACGGUUCCGCAUGGAACAGUGUGAAAAACUCCGGUGGUGUGAGAUGGACCCGCGUCUGAUUAGCCAGUUGGCGGGGUAACGGCCCACCAAAGCGACGAUCAGUAGCCGGCCUGAGAGGGUGAACGGCCACAUUGGGACUGAGACACGGCCCAAACUCCUACGGGAGGCAGCAGUGGGGAAUAUUGCACAAUGGGGGAAACCCUGAUGCAGCGACGCCGCGUGAGUGAAGAAGUAUUUCGGUAUGUAAAGCUCUAUCAGCAGGGAAGAAAGUGACGGUACCUGAAUAAGAAGCCCCGGCUAACUACGUGCCAGCAGCCGCGGUAAUACGUAGGGGGCAAGCGUUAUCCGGAUUUACUGGGUGUAAAGGGAGCGUAGACGGCAAGGCAAGUCUGAAGUGAAAGCCCGGUGCUUAACGCCGGGACUGCUUUGGAAACUGUUUAGCUGGAGUGCCGGAGAGGUAAGCGGAAUUCCUAGUGUAGCGGUGAAAUGCGUAGAUAUUAGGAAGAACACCAGUGGCGAAGGCGGCUUACUGGACGGUAACUGACGUUGAGGCUCGAAAGCGUGGGGAGCAAACAGGAUUAGAUACCCUGGUAGUCCACGCCGUAAACGAUGAUUGCUAGGUGUAGGUGGGUAUGGACCCAUCGGUGCCGCAGCUAACGCAAUAAGCAAUCCACCUGGGGAGUACGUUC
rnacentral:rRNA from 1 species